AAUCACUUGUCUUUUAAAUGAAGACCCGUAUGAAUGGCAAAACGAGGGCUUAACUGUCUCCUUCCCCAAAUCAAUGAAAUUGAUCCCCCCGUGCAGAAGCGGGGAUUUUAACAUAAGACGAGAAGACCCUAUGGAGCUUUAGACAGACGACUGAACCAUAUUCCCUAAACCCUCCCUCACAGGGCUAAAUUUAAUGGACACUCUAUCAAUGUCUUCGGUUGGGGCGACCAUGGGGAAAACAAAACCCCCACGCGGAAAGGGGUUAUAACCUAUAUGACCACAACCCCUCAGGACAGGGCGACAGCCCUACCCAGCAGAAAUUCUGACCAAACUGAUCCGGACCACUCCGAUCAACGAACCAAGUUACCCUAGGGAUAACAGCGCAAUCCCCUUUUAGAGUUCAUAUCGACAAGGGGGUUUACGACCUCGAUGUUGGAUCAGGACAUCCUAAUGGUGCAGCCGCUAUUAAGGGUUCGUUUGUUCAACGAUUAA
rnacentral:rRNA from 1 species